rnacentral:rRNA from 1 species
AAACUCAAAGGAAUUGACGGGGGCCCGCACAAGCAGUGGAGUAUGUGGUUUAAUUCGAAGCAACGCGAAGAACCUUACCAGGUCUUGACAUCGUGCGCAUAACCUAGAGAUAGGUGAAGCCCUUCGGGGCGCAUAGACAGGUGGUGCAUGGUUGUCGUCAGCUCGUGUCGUGAGAUGUUGGGUUAAGUCCCGCAACGAGCGCAACCCUUAUUACUAGUUGCUACGCAAGAGCACUCUAGUGAGACUGCCGUUGACAAAACGGAGGAAGGUGGGGAUGACGUCAAAUCAUCAUGCCCCUUAUGACCUGGGCUACACACGUACUACAAUGGCACUUUAACAGAGGGCUGCUACAUCGCGAGGUGAAGCGAAUCCCGAAAAAGUGUCUCAGUUCGGAUUGCAGGCUGCAACUCGCCUGCAUGAAGUCGGAAUUGCUAGUAAUCGCGGAUCAGCAUGCCGCGGUGAAUACGUUCCCGGGCCUUGUACACACCGCCCGUCACACCAUGGGAGUCGGUAACACCCGAAGCCAGUAGUCUAACCGCAAGGGGGACGCUGUCGAAGGUGGGAUUGAUGACUGGGGUGAAGUCGUAACAAGGUAGCCGUAUCGGAAGGUGCGGCUGGAUCACCUCCUUUCUG